AAUAGAUACCCUGGUAGUCUACGCCGUAAACGAUGCGCACUAGGUUCGAAGGUCUCUGACGAUCCUCGAGCCGAAACAAAAGCGUUAAGUGCGCCGCCUGGGGAGUACGGCCGCAAGGCUAAAACUCAAAGGAAUUGACGGGGGCUCACACGAGCGGUGGAGCAUGUGGAUCAAUUCGAAGCAACGCGAAGAACCUUACCUGGGUUUGACAUGUACGGAUGCCCUCGGGGAAACUCGAGUAAGCUGCCUUCGGGUGAAACGUAUACAGAUGCUGCAUGGCUGUCGUCAGCUCGUGCUGUGAAGUGUCGGGUUAAGUCCCUUAACGAGCGAAACCCUUAUCGCUAGUUGCCAGCGGGUCAUGCCGGGAACUCUAGUGAGACUGCCGGCGUCAAGCCGGAGGAAGGCGGGGACGACGUCAAGUCAUCAUGGCCUUUAUGCCCAGGGUGUCACACGUGCUACAAUGGGGUGGUACAGAGCGACGCAAGACCGCAAGGUGGAGCAAAUCGCAGAAAACACCCCUCAGUUCGGAUCG
rnacentral:rRNA from 1 species